AAUCGUAACAAGGUCUCCGUAGGUGAACCUGCGGAGGGAUCAUUACACAAAUAUGAAGGCGGGCUGGAACCUCUCGGGGUUACAGCCUUGCUGAAUUAUUCACCCUUGUCUUUUGCGUACUUCUUGUUUCCUUGGUGGGUUCGCCCACCACUAGGACAAACAUAAACCUUUUGUAAUUGCAAUCAGCGUCAGUAACAAAUUAAUAAUUACAACUUUCAACAACGGAUCUCUUGGUUCUGGCAUCGAUGAAGAACGCAGCGAAAUGCGAUAAGUAGUGUGAAUUGCAGAAUUCAGUGAAUCAUCGAAUCUUUGAACGCACAUUGCGCCCUUUGGUAUUCCAAAGGGCAUGCCUGUUCGAGCGUCAUUUGUACCCUCAAGCUUUGCUUGGUGUUGGGCGUCUUGUCUCUAGCUUUGCUGGAGACUCGCCUUAAAGUAAUUGGCAGCCGGCCUACUGGUUUCGGAGCACAGCACAAGUCGCACUCUCUAUCAGCAAAGGUCUAGCAUCCAUUAAGCCUUUUUUUCAACUUUUGACCUCGGAUCAGGUAGGGAUACCCGCUGAACUUAAGCAUAUCAAUAAGUAAAAAUCG
rnacentral:rRNA from 1 species